CCCAAUCUGGCUGUUCCACGGCUCGGUUCCCUCCUUGUCUUCGGCCUCUUUGCUGGAACUUUCACGCAGCGUCUCUGGCUUUGGCUGAGUCACGGUAAGCUCUAUCAGCUAUCAUCCUCUCCUCUGAAUCUGGAAACAAUGGAGAGUUCACAUUCAAGAGCAUCCCUGGCCGCCUCGGCUCUGGAAGCCCCACUCUGUCAACUAAUGACUCCCUGUGCUUGCAGCUUCCGUCCGUGACUUCUACUCCAAGUUCACUAACCACUCCCAGCCACGGUCCUAGGAUGUCUCUGUAGAGGAGGACUGUUGAUACCCGAUGAACUGUAGACUGACACAGCAAGGGCUGGGGAGAUAACUCAGUUGGGUUCAAGGCCCCAAAACCCACAUGGGGUCAGGCAUAGUAGCACACAUGUGUGAUCUUAGUGUUCCUAUGGUGAGAGGCGAGGUGAAAACAGGAAUUCCCCAGAGCUUGAAGGCUGCAAAAGACCCUCUCUCAAGGUAGAAGGCAAAGACUGACACCUGAGAUUGUCCUCUGCCCAACCAUGCAUUCCAUGGAGUGCAUGUAUCUGCACUCACAUACAUGAACAGUAUCCACACAUGCACAGUAACAUGCCAUGGGCUAGGGAUGUGGCUUAGUUGGCAGAGUGCUUGCAUAGUGUGCAUGAAGCCCUGGGUUCCAUUCCGAGCACUGAAUACACUGGACAUGAUGUUCAGGUGGUGCAGGUAGGAGGAUCAGGAGUUCAAGGCCAUCCUCUGCUAAGUAGGUAGUUCCAGGCUAUAAGGAGAGUCUCAAAAACAAGAUCUGUCAUAGCAGUGGUUGCCAGGUUGGCGGUGGAGGACAGGUGAACAGUUCUGUGCACUCUUUACGUGGUGUCUCUUGUAUCUGCUCUAUGUGAAUGCUGUCAUUCCUGGAAAUAAUUAGAUCACAAGGCCCCUGAGGAUGGGGACUGUACCCUUGAACUGUGUAUAUGAUGCUUACACCUGAGGCCGCACCAGGGAUUUAUCACAAGAAUGCAGGGAAGGGGUCAAAAACUGCCUGGGUCUCUGGCAGCCUCAUGGUGAAGAUACAUGUCUAUUUAGACAGUCUUCCUAUGUAGCCCAGGCAGGACUAGAACUCACAGUGACCUUCCCAAGGACUGGGAUUACAAAUGUGCAUCAUCAAGCCAGUCACCGACCUGUUUCUUUAAAUUCUAGCUGCCAGACUAUAUGUUGGUGGAGUAUUAAAGAUGGUCAUGAACUCCAUGCAGGUGCUUUUGCCUUUUGCAUUCUGUCCUAAAGCUCCUCCUCUGCACCCCUGACUCAAACUCCAAUACUGGGCAUUGAACCAGGGCCAUAAACAUGCUUAGCCAAUGCUAUGUUGGUCUCACCUCUUACAGGAAUUCUUGGGAUUCAGUUCUACCUCUGAACCACGCUUCCAGCCCCUCACUGGGGGAUUCUAGGCAGGUGCUCUACCACUGAGCCACACCCCAGCCCCUCACUGGGAAUUCUAGGCAGGUGCUCUACUACUGAGCUACACCCUAGCCCCUCACUGGGAAUUCUAGGCAGGUGCUCUACCACUGAGCCACAACCCAGUCCCUCACUGGGGGAUUCUAGGCAGGUGCUCUACCACUGAGCUACACCCCAGCCCCUCCCUGGGGGAUUCUAGGCAGGUGCUCAACCACUGAGCCACACCCCAGCCCCUCACUGGUGGAUUCUAGAUGCUCUACCACUGAGCUACACUCUUAGCCCUUGUUUUAUGUCUUAUUUUGAUACAUGGUCUAACUAUGUAGUCCAAGAUGACCUUAAAAUGAUGAUCCUCCUGCCUCAGCCUGCUUGCUGAGUGCUAGACUGACAGACCCGUACCACCACACCCACCUAUUUUAUGUCUCAAGUCUCCCGCAGUAAUAGAUUUAUGCCCACCUGCAGCUGAUUACUACCCAUACAAAAAUUGUGUGACUUGAAGACACAAAAUUAGAAAAGAAAAACGAGACCCAUUGAGAGCAUGCUAAAGACAGCCCCUGCAAGGAUGUUUCCAGCCUUCCAUCAGAAGAAUUCUGUUAUUGAUGCCGAGCGUGCAGGCUGUGCAUUGAUUUCCUCUACCCACAGAGGCCGCCGCCUCUCAGCAUGCAGUGCGGUCACCAACACGAAAUGGGUCCACACGCUCCUCCUCCCACCGUGAGGCUCUUUGGCCUGUGGCCAGAGCCAAAGCCUCCCAAGCGAACUCAGCCCCUCAGACUGACAGUUGUGGAGGUGUUUCUCUGGGCAGUGGAGUGGCAAGAGAGGACAAAAGGGACAGCAGGGGACCAGCCGGUGCACAGGCAUGGAAAGGGAAACCGGAGAAUCUAAAGACAGCCCCCAGCCUCUUUAGCUCUUUAGCAUGGGCUCCAGUGACCGUUUCUUAGUUUCUGCAGAUGGUGACAUCCAGGGCAGGGGAACUGAGCAUCCUCCAGCCGCCACUGCCACUUCUGACUAUACAAAAUGACUUUGUUAUAAAAGGCUGGUCUGUGCAGCAGCCUUGACAGCCGGAUUCCGUUCCCCCCACCCCUCUCUGGCUGGUCCAUUGGAAAUGCCUGGUUGCAGUUUCCAAGUGCAGCAGCAAAGGGCACUGACAGACUCAACGGGGUGACUUUGGAUUCUCCUGUGCUCUUUUUCGUUUGAUUGUUUUUGUUUUUGUUUUUUGUUUUGUUUUUGAGACAGGGUUUCUCUGUGUAGCUUUGAAACCUGUCCUGGAACUCGCUUUGUAGACUAGGCUGGCCUCGAACUCACAGAGUGCCUCCCAAGUACUAGGAUUAAAGGCGUGUGCCACCACCA